GGGGUUGUGGCUCAGUGGUUGAGCACUUAUCUAGCAUGCAAGAGGCAAUGGGUUCAAUCCCCAGCACCACCU
rfam:Ictidomys tridecemlineatus contig060030, whole genome shotgun sequence.